GACGAACGCUGGCGGCGUGCUUAACACAUGCAAGUCGAACGGUGAAGGGGCCUGCUUUUGUGGGCCCUGGAUGAGUGGCGAACGGGUGAGUAACACGUGAGUAACCUGCCCCCUUCUUCUGGAUAACCGCAUGAAAGUGUGGCUAAUACGGGAUAUUCUGGGUCUGUCGCAUGAUGGGUCUGGGAAAGAUUGCGCCUUUGGGUGUUUUUGGUGGGGGAUGGGCUCGCGGCCUAUCAGCUUGUUGGUGGGGUGAUGGCCUACCAAGGCGGUGACGGGUAGCCGGCCUGAGAGGGUGGACGGUCACACUGGGACUGAGACACGGCCCAGACUCCUACGGGAGGCAGCAGUGGGGAAUAUUGCACAAUGGGCGCAAGCCUGAUGCAGCGACGCCGCGUGAGGGAUGGAGGCCUUCGGGUUGUAAACCUCUUUCGCCGGUGAAGCAGGCCUGCUCCUUGUGGGUGGGUUGACGGUAGCUGGAUAAGAAGCGCCGGCUAACUACGUG
rnacentral:rRNA from 1 species